rnacentral:rRNA from 1 species
UACAGAGGUCCCAAGCGUUGUUCGGAUUCACUGGGCGUAAAGGGUGCGUAGGCGGUCGGGUAAGUCUGAUGUGAAAUCUCACAGCUUAACUGUGAAACUGCAUUGGAUACUAUCCGGCUCGAGGAAUGGAGGGGAGACUGGAAUACUUGGUGUAGCAGUGAAAUGCGUAGAUAUCAGGAGGAACACCGGUGGCGAAGGCGGUUCUCUGGGCCGAUACUGACGCUGAGGAGCGAAAGCGUGGGGAGCGAACAGG